AACACUUCAUAAUACCAUUUCAAUUCACAUCACUCCUUGUCUCGGUAUCAUCGACAGGAGCAAGAACCGAGCUGUUUAAUUUCUUUUGCUCCUUUCUGUCCGCAAACUAGAGAGAGAGGAGAGAGUCUAGCUGAGCAUCGUCCUUCUAACCAUGAGCUGGUGAAGGGACUGAGGGCUGGACUUUCUCCAUUCCAGCCGCAACCCAGAGCAAGGGAGAGAGAGAGCUAGUGGUCUGCAUUUUCUGGGCUGCCAAAGGGAGGAGGAUUAUUUCUGCUGCUAACCGCGUGUGUGAGCUCCAUUUGAGGAUAUUGCGGGGACGCGGAAUUGGAUUCCCAACUUGAUAUCUGAACUCCACUCUUGGUUCUGGAAACUGAAAGCUGGAUGCUUACUUAAGUUUCCCUUUUGGAUUGUAUUUGAGUACUAUAACUUAUUCUGUGGGCUGUAAUAUGUUAUUUGGGAUAAUGUAUUUUCAUUCUGGAUUGCCACUUGAAACUAGAAAAUGUGUAAACCCUAAUUCGAUUACUUGGCCUGUAGAUUUGUAAUAGAGAUUUAUGUAUUUAUCUAU